CACAUUGAUUGGGAAAGAUCAACUCAAGAUGAACACUUCCAUCGCAAUCCUGCUCAUUCUCUCACUCCAGUUUACUGGAUCAUUAUGUCAAGUUAACACAACUUCAGCAAAUACAGCAACUACAGCCAGUGAAGGAGUUCCUGGAUGGGGAAUUGCUGUCAUAGUUCUGGCUGCUGUGGCUGUCUUCCUCCUUUUGGUCGGCGCAUGUUUUAUAAUCAUUGUUCAGCGGAACUAGCGCACUAGCGCACAACAUCAACAUCAACAAAGAUGAACUCUCAAAGCAUAGCAUCUCGGUGUUUACCUGCUAGUGUUAAUCUCUCUGUAUUUUGGGCGUGUUUUGGAUUUACCAUAGAAGUGGCUUCUUGCCGUAUGACAUGGGAAGAGACGCAUUAUUACAUUGUGUAACUUCAGUAACUGUGUAUUAUAAAUAUGAAUAAAAUAUAAACUGACUUA